rnacentral:lncRNA from 1 species
AUGUUUUGCUUAACAAAUUCUGGGAUAUAACAAAUGAAUAAGAUAAGUAGCUUUUCAAAAAGGACACAUUGAGGUUUAACACAAAUGACCUUUUUCUGAUAAAACUAUGUUUUUUUCCAAAUCUCACUACAAUGUGACAUCUCAGAUUUGGCCAUAAUGUCUAGGCCGAGUUUGGGGUGUUACACUGCCAACAUUCUCAGACACUCGAUGAUCAUCAUGAUAGAUUGCUCGCUAUGCGAGUCCUACAAUGACUUCCUUUUUUUUAUACCCUGUCAGGCUUUUCUUUUUGUAAUAAAAUGUACCUGUUCACCAUUGGAUCAUGCCAUGACUAGCCAUUGACUUUUGAUUCCUUAGAAUCAGUAAAUCUCUUUCGGGGUGUCACUCUAAAAAGCUUGUAUACCAUUUACACGGUGUCGCACCAAAUGACCUAUAUACAUGUACAUGGUGUCGCCCCGAAGAACCAGUAUAUUAUUUACACGGUGUUGCCUCGAAGGACCUAUAAAUUACCAUUUCACGAUGCCGCCAAACUCCCUCGAAUCCCCUUUCAAUCCGUUCAUUCCUCCAUUAUGCCAAUUUUUCCCAUCUUCAACUAAUCUGCCAAAGUAAUUCCCUUCGUACUCUGCAUUUUAUAAAUAUACAUUUCACGCUUAUUGUUACACUUAUUACUAUAGCAUAUAGUACGCCAUUUAUCAAUAUGUUAAUACACUACCACAUUUGCAUCCAGAGAACAUACUUGCAAGCAUCUAUAUAUUUACACAACUUUAUGCAUGCAUAGCAUACUCAUUCAUCAUAAUCACACUCAACCAUGAAAUCUGAAUUGAACUUAGAAUAAACAUAUGAGCAGAACAUUCAACCAGCAAACACCCAAAGUGGAGUACAGGAACUCACCUACUAUCCUUUAUCCUCGCCAGGUUAGCUCGUCUGAAUGUCAAAGCCUCAUUCAUUGUGACAACUAAGCAUGAAAACCAAAUAUACUGGUUAAAUUGGAGGCAUUCAAGGUUUAAAUACCCGAAUCAAAUUUCAUGCAAAAAUUUCCAAUGAUUUCAUAAACCCCUUAACUUCUCUUUUCCUCAACUUCACGAAUAUAGUAAGAUUAAGAAGCUUACUAGUUUACUGUAUUCAAUACAUUCCAGACUUAAACCUUACGAUCACCACGUCAUGCAGGACUUUCCUUAACGUUAUCUUGUUCGGAGCAAUCAAAAAAGGCGGUGUAGAUGAGAAGAAAAUAUAAACAUAACUAAGAAGAAUUUCCUUUGCCGAAUAAGGCUUCUCACAUGUAUAUAACCUUUUGCGCACGGUCACCAAAGCCCUAAAUAAGUCAUCCAUUGAUAAUCAUUUUGUGUUCCACUAAGGAACUGGGCGGUUCCAUCUUAAUUGAACCAGAAUUAAAACUCAACUAAUUAUCAAUUAGCCACUAAAAUUCCCAAGCUUUCUGAUAGAGCCCGCCGACUUAUUAUUUUAUUCAAUUAACUUCCAACUCUCCUUUAACUUCGGGACUUUAAUGAAAAUUGAGUGUGACACGUUGCCACAUUCCAUUUUCAUUAACCACAUAAUGCAUUUAAAAUGACAUCUUUUAAUUCAUUGUAUCUAUGAUUCUAUAUCUUUAAGUAAAGAUAAACUCUGCAUAAGUCAUAUUAAACUCAUGCAUAAGUCAUAUACCCAUCAAUUGAUUUAAUAGCUUACUACUUCGAAAUGUUUUAACAUUUGAACAUCAAAUUAUGUGAGUCAUACGUGUGCAAUCAUGUACUUAUUUAGAAUUAAGGUAAACACAGAAUGAAUGUCAUAAAUGAAUUAAUUUAUACACGGUUUUAAAAUUAAUUUGACUUAAGUUUAGUAUAAUAUACUACUAAAGCUAGGAACUUUGAAGUCAAAUAAGCUCCAAUAAUCAAGACAUGUUAUCUCCUAGUAGGAAUUUAAACAAUAAAAUAUUUUCGAUUAGGAUUAUAUUUAAACUAAAAAUAAUUGAAAAUUAUAGUGCCUCAAACUCGACCGAAACGGACUAACCUGAAUUCGAAACUCUACAUUAGCCAUUUAUGUGACUCUCCUUACUGGUCAUCCAAACACACCAUAAAGCCAAUCAUCACACCCAACAAACAUGCUUAAACAAUUAAUCUAAAACAUACAAGCUUAAAUCAUGCUUCGUCUAACACAAAACAACAAAUUAUAAACAGGGGUAAAACUAUCAUUUUACACAUCGAAAGCAAAACUUGUAAUCAUGAAAUUUGGUUGAUUUAGUGUUUUGGGUAUUUUAUUUUAAACCAUUUGUAAAAAAAUUAGCUUAAAAUGAUGUUUAAAACUCAUUUAAUUUCAAAACAAAGUUUAAAGACUAAAUAAUAAAUUUUACAAAAUAUCUAGAAAAACCAUUUUAAGUAAUUGAAGUUACCAUAUUAAAAUAUAGUGUUUAAAUCCAUAUCAUGUAAAAUUUCAAAACAUUUCGUGGUGUUUAAGGCCUCCAAUUUUUUGUUGUGAAAAUCAGGACUUAUUUGCAACAGUUUCAAAAUAUGCCCAGAACAUUUUGAAAAUCUCGUCGCAAUCGCACGAUUUUCAUGUCUUGAAAUCAAGCCCUUUUUGUAACAUACCAUUUUACACUUUGAUAUUCAAAUGCACAUACCAAUUGGCGGUUCCAUGCCAUUUUCCCUAUUCUAACGUAAGGUCAUAUAUUAACAUGCUUUGACAUCCAAAACAAUCUCCUAAGCUAACAUGUUUUUCUAAAGUCUGAAACUAAUCAACUCAACAUAACAAAUUUUCAUAUAAGGCAAUUUAAAGUGCAAUAAAGAUACAUACCUUUCCAUUUGGUCAUUUUUCAUUUUUCCAAGCCUUCAACACAUCAUUUAAACCACUUUAACCAUAAAUCAAUAAAUCACAUGCAUGUUACUUAAUAAUUAAUUAAGCAUUCAUCUAGAAUACAUCAUGCAGUUAACCAAGAAAUUAAAUCAUGCACGAAUCAGUUAUAAAAAUCCUUAAACAGUUCAUGGAAAGUCCAUUUAUAAGUCCAAAAUAAAAGUAAAGUCUAGUCCCUCAAAUUUAAACCUACAUUGUCACCCUUUAUGAAGUAAAAACCAUCUCACAUGCACAAUCAACGUGCUUUUGCCUUUGGAUCCCCAACUUUCUCACUUUACCACUCCACACAAGCUAUGUCUCUGUAAAAAUAGUCACAAAAGAGUGUGAGCUUAACCAAGCUCAGUAAGUAUUCAAGAUGCUACAAUAAAUCACAAACACAAUAGUUAAAAACAAGGAUGCUAAAUAUACUUAUCACAUUGCAUAAAAAAAAUACCAUAUAAUAAUGAUAUAUUGGCAACUUGUGAGGAUGAAAAUGUAUAUCAAAGGCUCUCAUUGGAUACACAAACCUCCAUCACACCAUGACUUAAAAGAGUCUACAUAUCUCAAGUAAGUGUAGCAUGAAGCUAACACUCUCCAACACACCAACAUGUCCCAUGAAUGGAGCAAUGCUCUAUAUUCCCUUAUCCCUCCACAUGUCUCCAUGACAAAACAUAUAAAUGAGUACUCAAAUCUUAUGACAUGCCUACCAUAUCCAACAUUUUCAAAGGUUCACAAGGCCAAUAUAUCCAUUUCACACAUUUAUUUUCUAGUUUAUGCAUACUACACAUAUCAUAAUUUAUCAUGGCCAAACACUUACACAUGUUCACAUAUUGCACUAUAAGUGUUAACACUUUGCUCUUAAGCCUAAUUUACUCUCAUAUUAGUGAUAUGUGCAUAAUACCAACUAUCCACAAGGCAUAUUCAGUUAUAUUCAAUACAUAUAUGCACAUCACACACUUUAGCAUAUUAUAACACAAGUAAGCUUGUUUAUAGAAUAACAAAGAUUAAGUAGGAACACUUACUUCAAGGACUUAGAUUAGAUGAUUUGAUCACCUAAGCCCCCUUUAAGUCAUUGGUUUGUGCAUUAACUAUAGCACACAAAUCACUCACCUUAAUAAUUGGCUUCCACAACAAAGCUCAAGUAAGCUUUUGUUUGCCUUUGUGCUUGCUUAUUGAGGCUCCCAAAUGAGUUGAAACUUUACAUGCACAUCAAACACAAUACAAAGGCAUUCCAAGAAAUAACAAACAAGAUUAAAUCACUCUAAAAUCACAGAUCAAAGCUUCAGAUCUUUAUACUGAAAACUUAGCUAGUUUUCUCGAAAAUACGAUUUCACCAAUCAAAUAUUGUUUCUAAACCUUAAUUUUGAUCCUAAUAUUCCUAAAUAUAAUAUAAUUACAUAUUUUAACCUUCAAUUUAGUCAAAUUUUUUGGAUCUCAUUUUUUUGGAAAAAUUAAGCCAAAAGAGCUUUAAAGUGAAGAGAUCAUUCAAAUCUUUCAAAAUUACUUAUAGAUUUGUUAAAUUGGGAUUAAAAACCUUCUAAUAGGAUCAAAAUAAGUUCAAAAGAUCUUUAAAGUAGUACUUUAACUCAAUAAAACAAGAUCCACCAUUUUCAAGCUUGAAAUCAACUUAAAAUAAAAUGAUCUAUUGAAAUCGUGAAUUAAUUGAUUGAAACUCAAUUUAAAAAUCUAACACACUUAGUUUAAUCAUGAAAAGUUAGAAUGUUACCUCUAUUUUGCAAAAUCAACAAGCUACGAAGCUAAUUUGAGUUUGAACAUGUGAAGAACUUUAGAUAAAUUGAAGAUAAAAUCAUAAAUAUUCUUUGAAAUUGAAAAGAGAUUUUGUGUUUGGAGAGCUUAGAAAUAAAAAAAAAAGAUGAACAAAUUUUGGGAGAAAAACAAAAAUUGGUAUUUGGAAAAUUUUUU